AUUGAACGCUGGCGGCAUGCCUAACACAUGCAAGUCGAACGGUAACAGGUCCCGUAGCAAUACGGGAUGCUGACGAGUGGCGGACGGGUGAGUAAUGCGUAGGAAUUUACCUCAAAGCGGGGGAUAGCCCGGAGAAAUCCGGAUUAAUACCGCAUGUGCUCUACGGAGGAAAGCGGGCCUCUACUUGUAAGCUCGCACUUUGAGAUAAGCCUACGUCGGAUUAGCUAGUUGGUAGGGUAAGGGCCUACCAAGGCGACGAUCCGUAGCUGGUUUGAGAGGAUGAUCAGCCACACUGGGACUGGGACACGGCCCAGACUCCUACGGGAGGCAGCAGUGGGGAAUAUUGGACAAUGGGCGAAAGCCUGAUCCAGCAAUGCCGCGUGUGUGAAGAAGGCCUGCGGGUUGUAAAGCACUUUUAUCAGGAAAGAAAAUCUCGGGGCUAAUAUCCCCGGGCCUUGACGGUACCUGAUGAAUAAGCACCGGCUAACUCCGUGCCAGCCGCCGCCGUAACAC
rnacentral:rRNA from 1 species